GUUCGUGGAGGGGAGGUACCGCUGCGUGCGCAAUGGAGAUGUUGGUAGCGGUUCGUUCCUGAGGCGGGGUUCUCCUCCUCCUCCGCCGGUCUCGUCGGUUACGUUGGUUUUCUUGAGGGUGGACUGCCUUGCAGAGAGAGUGACUUGUAUGGUGCCCGUCAGCUUCCUUCUGGGAAUUCCCUUUUCUACUUGGAAACGUGUUUUAUUUCCUACCAGCGUAACUUCCUCUCAAAAACACGAACUUCUCCAUUUUUUUUUCCUGAAUAGUAAGAUAAAGUUGCUUGAACCUAUUUUCAGACUUACCCUAUGUUUUCCAGUCUCCUGGCGUCCAGUUUCUUCCUUUAACUAGUUUUGAAAUGUCACUAGUUUGUCCAUUUCUUCUAGAAGCUUGUGUGGGUGCUUCUGGAGCAGGGCUGUGCUGCUGUAACGUUGGAGGUAUAGCUGUGAGGUAGCUCUGUGACACACCAGGGGUGCUGGCUUCCAUGUAAAGCUGUUGCAUUAAGUAAACUCCUGCAAGGCCAGCACCAAAGCCUUCAUACGCCUCUGGAAGCAUGUACAGGACUGUUUCUAUUGCUUUGAGUGUGAGGCCAGUAGUAAUAAAACUAUUUUAAAUGGAGGAAGACUAUGCUAUCCUGCGUGUGUGGCUUUUUUAUUUAUGCUGACAGGGAUGAUGUAGUUAUGGAUGGAUGAGUAAGUUUGGACCUCCUAUGUCUCUGUGUUAAUAGGCCGCUGAUGUGGAUAAACUGGCAUCCAAGGAAGUCAGAACCACAGAUUGAAAAUUUUUGAGCCGAAGGGCUCCCUUUCUCCCUGACUUGGAGAGAGAAGAGCAAAUGAAAAAAAUUGAUGUAAAAGUAACAAGCCUGAUUUCAGUAGCUCAGAAGCUGUUCAGUGGCAGCUCUCUGGCAAUCAUAAUCUAUGCUGCUUUGCUGUAAGCCUACAUAUGCUACUGUAGUAAAUAUUCUUCUCUUUCCAACUGUUAGUAAAAACAACAACAUCUUGCUCUGCAGAACGAAUAUAGAAAUUGCAAUUUCUUACAAUCCACCUUAGAACCAUAAAGAAAAUACCUCCUGGGUCAGGUCAGACAACUUCCUAUGAAUCUCUGGGUAUGUUUGUAGUGCUUAGCGGACAACAGUAAAUUUGGAGGAAUACAGCUACAGCUUUUUGUGGAUACACCAGCUCAAGUCUGUAAGCAGUGAUGCUGUUCUGUUUUGCCAACUGGACAAUGUGUUUGCACUGAUUUCUGAACCAUGCUGACUCACCUGGGCAACUGACUGUGCCAGUGAAUAAAAACAGAGCUUAUCUUUAGCACAGCACAGCUUUUCUGAAUCUGACAAUGCCAGAUCUUUGCUUACUGAAAUCAAGCUCAUCAUGUAAUCUGAACUGGGACUUUUGAUGUAAUUAACUGGAGUGCUCUCACAACUAUUCUCUUAUUUACAAAAUUUUGUGACAUUCUCAUUUGUUGAAAACAAGCUUUUUUCCUAUUUUCCCUAAUUGUGAAUUUGUGUAUGUACUUAGUGAAAGGAACGUAUGAUACUGUAUGUAGAAUGUCAUGGGGUUUUAAUGGAAACCCUCAUAAACGGUUGCAGAUAUGUUUGUAAUCCCUAGGACAUCUCAUUUAACUUCCAUUUUUAUUAUUCAGAAACAAACGUGUUUUGUAACACUUCAAUAAUAUGCUUCUGUUUGUCCAAUCUUUGUCAAUAAAUUUGACAGGGAUACAGGUCUGUGCACUUCAACUAAUUUCUAAAAAAAAAAAAGGGUAUCAGUGGGCAAGCUAACUACAGGUAAUCUUAUUGCAACGGUAUGCUAACUUUCUGUGUAAGUUGAUGUGGGAGAAAUCUGCAUGGGACCUUAAUAUUUACUCUCAACAGUAAAAAGCAUUCUAUAAAAUCUCUGAAAGCUUCAGUAAAGUAGCAGGCAUGGCAGGUGAAUCUCAGAAGGCUGGGAUGCUUGUAUUGCUUUAGUGUUUCCAAAUAUGGGGCAGGGAUGGUGUGUGUAAAAGAUACAAAAUGAAACAGAGCAAGAGUAAAUUUACUCACCUUGCCCACAUUAUGCAAUUC